rnacentral:tRNA from 1 species
UCCCGGUUCGUCUAACGGCAGGACAAGUGCCUUUGGAGCACUGAAUAGAGGUUCGAGUCCUCUACCGGGAGCCA